GAUGAAGAACGCAGCGAAAUGCGAUAAGUAAUGUGAAUUGCAGAAUUCAGUGAAUCAUCGAAUCUUUGAACGCACCUUGCGCCCUUUGGCCAUUCCGAAGGGCAUGCCUGUUUGCGUAUCAUGAACACCUCAACUCUCAUGGCUUGCCAUGAUGAGCUUGGACUUUGGGGGUCUUGCUGGCCUGUGGUCGGCUCCUCUCAAAUGAAUCAGCUUGCCAGUGUUUGGUGGCAUCACAAGUGUGAUAACUAUCUGCGCUCGUGGUUUCCAUCAGAUAACCUCCAGUGAUGGAGGUUCGCUGGAGCUCAUAAAUGUCUCUCCUAAGCGAGGACAGCUCUUUUAAUGUUUGAUCUCAAAUCAGGUAGGACUACCCGCUGAACUUAAGCAUAUCAAUAAGCGGAGGA
rnacentral:misc_RNA from 1 species